GCCACCAGGGGUAAAGUUUUGACCGAGCGCACAUGUGGUGGCUGUUGGACUCUUUCGGGAGUCGAAAAACGAACAGAUUCUCUGGCUUCUAGGUAGCGAUUGUUCGCCUAGUACCUGUGAACAAUCCUACUGAACAGCGCUUUCCUAAGAUGUGAGGAAACAAAGCACCCUCCCUUCUCUUCUGGUUUCUAAAUUUGUGCAAAUGAGCAUUUUAAAACAUUCUUUUACUAACAUAAUGAUGAGAGGGAAAAUACAUCUGCUUCUUGACUUGGCUGCUCCCCACUUAAAGAGCAUACAUUAAAC